rnacentral:rRNA from 1 species
GAUGAACGCUGGCGGCGUGCUUAACACAUGAAAGUCGAACGGGAAUUAUUUUAUUGAAACUUCGGUCGAUUUAAUUUAAUUCUAGUGGCGGACGGGUGAGUAACGCGUGGGUAACCUGCCUUAUACAGGGGGAUAACAGUCAGAAAUGGCUGCUAAUACCGCAUAAGCGCACAGAGCUGCAUGGCUCAGUGUGAAAAACUCCGGUGGUAUAAGAUGGACCCGCGUUGGAUUAGCUGGUUGGUGGGGUAACGGCCCACCAAGGCGACGAUCCAUAGCCGGCCUGAGAGGGUGAACGGCCACAUUGGGACUGAGACACGGCCCAGACUCCUACGGGAGGCAGCAGUGGGGAAUAUUGCACAAUGGGGGAAACCCUGAUGCAGCGACGCCGCGUGAAGGAAGAAGUAUCUCGGUAUGUAAACUUCUAUCAGCAGGGAAGAUAGUGACGGUACCUGACUAAGAAGCCCCGGCUAACUACGUG